rnacentral:tRNA from 1 species
GGGUCGUUAGCUCAGUUGGCAGAGCAGUUGACUUUUAAUCAAUUGGUCGCAGGUUCGAAUCCCGCACGACCCA